rnacentral:rRNA from 1 species
AUUGAACGCUGGCGGCAUGCUUUACACAUGCAAGUCGAACGGCAGCGCGGGCUUCGGCCUGGCGGCGAGUGGCGAACGGGUGAGUAAUACAUCGGAACGUGCCCAGUAGUGGGGGAUAGCUCGGCGAAAGCCGGAUUAAUACCGCAUACGACCUGAGGGUGAAAGCGGGGGAGCUUCGGACCUCGCGCUAUUGGAGCGGCCGAUGGCAGAUUAGCUAGUUGGUGGGGUAAAGGCCUACCAAGGCGACGAUCUGUAGCUGGUCUGAGAGGACGACCAGCCACACUGGGACUGAGGCACGGCCCAGACUCCUACGGGAGGCAGCAGUGGGGAAUUUUGGACAAUGGGCGAAAGCCUGAUCCAGCAAUGCCGCGUGUGUGAUGAAGGCCUUCGGGUUGUAAAGCACUUUUGGCGGGAACGAAAAGGACUGUGCCAAUACCACGGUUCGAUGACGGUACCCGCAGAAUAAGCACCGGCUAACUACGUG